ensembl:lncRNA
GCAUAACUGACAACAAAGGCAUUACAUGGUGUAUGCCCUGCAUAUUCUGCAGACUACUCCUUGCCUUUGCAAGUUAUUUCCAACUUCUUCUGAAAAUGCUGUGUGAUCAGUUGAUGAUCUUUUUUUAUUUAUUAAUAGCCUAUAAAAUUAAGCAUGUAAUCAAAGAAUUAAUCCUUUCCCAAAAGUGCAAGGUGGGAUGAAUUAGAUCAGUGGUACAAAAGCAGAUGUUCUUUAUUGCAAUAGGCCUUUCUUUGGAUACUCUGGGAAGAAGGGACCAAAACAAAACACUAAAUUGAAGAGGAUUCAGAGGCGCAAUCACUACCAGCCACUUUUCAUAUGCAAAGCAUGCAUCAGCCACAUCCAUGCUAUCUCCUAAAGCAGUCAUUCUGAAACCCAAUCUGGGGACAGUGCAGACUAAAUAAAAUUUCAUUUUGAUUUGGCCUCCCGCUGAGAAUGGGACUGCUUUGUUUCAGCCGACAGAACCAGCAAGCCAGAAAGGUGUUGAAUACACAAAUACUGACUUAACGGACAAUUAUAAAGUGGCUAAUGCUGAGAAGCAAAAGGCUGUGACCACCAAUCUGAUGCAGGAAACAGGGGCAAGGAUGACACUGGAAGAGGGACAGCAUCUGCACCACUUCCAUUUUCAGAACAAAGAAUUUGAGUUUCAGACCUGAAGCAGCUGGAGGGGUUCAUGUGACACAUUUGUCUGUGUUCAGUACACAUAUCAUGAAUGCGAUAAAAGAAGCAAUAUAGUUGGGAUGCUCAAGCUUUCAAAACCUGCUUUCGUAUUAAGCAAGAAACGCCUCUUAAAACACAUAUUAUGGGACCAGAUGAACAUGGCCUUCAGACUUGGAGAAGUAUUUAAAAUGUUCCAGUAGAUGAAGUCAAACAAGAGCUCUACAGAAGGAUCAUCUGGAGGUUUUACCAGGAAAGUUUUAUUCCUUUUUUUUUAUUCUCAGCUACAGUGCAAGCACAGAAGAAAGAAACAUUUUUCCUCCAAAAAUUUGGUGGAGCUUGUGUGCCCAAAACAGAGUUUUCUUACUCCUUGAACAAGUCCAGCUCAUCCUAUUAUCCUUGGAAAAGCUGGGAAAAAAAGACAUUGGGAGAGCCCGCAAGAUAAGCAAUCAGCUUGUAGCAGACUUGCAGUUUUGAAGAACAGAUGAUUCAGUCACUGGGAGUCUGCUCUGCAUCAGUAGUAUCUGUUCUAUAGCAACUACAGAUGAGCAGAAACAGUAGGUUUUUUUUUAGUUAAUCUGUAGAAACUUUUCUACAUGCCACAGUGACCAAAAUUGAUUAUAUGGACUUUUAUUUCAGUAUUUUCUUUGGGUCCUAUUGUGUGGUAAAGAUGACUGAUUAUAGUAAAAGAAAAAAAAAUAGAUUAAGAAAAAUCUAUAGAAGAGAUUAUGUGCCAAAAAAAAAAAAAAAAACCUGUCCAUACACAGAGAUUCAACAACAUAGCACGAAUAUGGAUACAUACCAAUUGAAUCACUUUCACAGAAGUGCUGAAUUAAACUUUAAGAAUAAUUUGACAAGAUUUGUGAUGUAGUGAUUUUUUAUGGUAAAGGAGUCUGUGGGAAUUGAUUUUUCAUUCAAUAAUAUUCAGAGGUGUUCUUGUCACUGUUUUAUGUAGACUGUUCACUUGGAGUUUCCUAAACUUCAUUCUCAUGUAGCUCGUUGCUCCUGAGGCUACUGCAUUUAGACCAUUCUCCAAUUGCUAUCAACGAAGUGCUGUUUGGUUUCUUGAGGAUGUGGCAGAAUGUGGCUGCGUCUGGCAAGAACACAGUGAAAAGUACCAUCAAAACACUGAGAUAAGAUAUGCACAUCCCACUCAUACAUACAUUAAUGUAUCUACUAUCAACUCAGCGGAAAACUAAGAAUGUCUGUUUUGUUUUGUUUAUUUUGUUUAUUUUUCCUACCUCAUUGCCAAGUGAGUUCUUCAAUAGGCUGAUGGCAGACCCAUUUUUUUUUAUUUUAGUAUUACGGACAAGACUUUUAUCUCAAGUAGGAGGGCGCUUCACCUUCUCUGAGCCUCCUAGCCUUCAUUCCCACCAUCCUCCUAAAGAAAGCAUUUUUUUCUUCUUCCACCUCUUCUCCUGUGAACUUGCCCAUCUGUUUCUAUUUACUACCAGAUCCUCCCCUCCCACACUUCUCAUACAGCCGGUAAACCGCACAGCGCUGUUCUUCUGCCUCUUCCUCCCCCAGGACUCUGCUCAUGGAGUCUCUCUCCCUCUUUUUCCUGAGGACUUGCUUCAACAAGUAAGGGGGUGGCUUGCCCCAGGCUUACUGCCCCUGGGGUUUAAGUGGCAUCCUGCCUCUGGGCUAUGAGCGAUUCCCAAUCCACUGUGGUGGCCAACCUUGAAGCUCUGCUGACUCUCUGUCAGCUCCCCGCCACCCACAGGCUCCUCAGCUCAAAUCACAGAAUGAGACAUACUACAACACGCUCCAAGCAUCCGUGCAGUGGGAUUUCAUCAGCAGUGGUGCAAAACUGGUAUUUGCUUCUCUGGGAGGACAUCCCACUCUAGGACACGUAUCCACAUACGUGCAUGCCACAUUUCCAGUCAACAGCUCUUCAGUGAGUGUGUUGUUUCUUGCUCCUUCACCUGCUUGUGCUGUCUUUAAUCAGCUCAGAGCAAAGUGUUGUUUUCUUUAAUGUUUAUGCAAUGCUUAGUGCAAAGCCAAGGCCACUCAGAAAUAAAAAUGCUGUAUACAGACAGUGAAUGGGAGGACUUGAAAAUAGAGGAAGGAGACAAAACAGGUGGUGAUACAAUUUAUAUGCAUUUCUUUUUCAAAUAAAUAGCAGAAGUGGAUCAGGAAUUUGCAUCUUUCCUGUCAUAUCAUUACAUGGGGGUUAGGAAAUGCUGCCUGAAAGUAAAAGCUGAGCUGUGGAAACUCACGAAAAGAAAAUACUUCCCCUCCCCUUCCUCAGUGUGUAAUUAGCCUGUGGCAGUAAUUGCCCUUGUGUGACACUGAGGCCAAGGUCUCUGUAAAGCAGUUAUACAGAUAGUACAAAAUUCUUGCAGCUAUCUGUAUUAUAAGAGGGAUACCAACCCUUCAGGCUUUAGGUUAGUCUCUGUUAAAGAACAGGAGGAGACCUGAUACACUGUUACUUUCAGAGAGACUGAAUAUUAGACCUGAGAGACCCUUCAUCUAAUCCUAUGCCACAUUUUUAAGGUAAAGAAGGGAAAGAUCAUAGGACAGAGCAACACAACAGGAAAUAAAACCAGGCAUUUUUUCUUCUGAGUGUACAAUGGAUGCUACUGGCUGCAACCAAUGCUUCUCGGGUCCUUCUCUUUCUGAAAGCAGAAGGUUGGAGGGUCAAACGGAAAAGAGUGGUAGGGAAAAAAGAUUCAGCAGAAUAUAAAGAGCAUAAAAGAAUGAGAAUGACAAAGCACAGAGCUGGUGUUUAAGUAAACUCUCUUUUAUUUAUUGUAAUUUAAUCUUUCAGCAGGACUCUCUGUGUUGUUUGGUUUGGUUUAUUUUGUUUUGUUUUGUUUUGUUUUUAAUUAUUUAGAGACUGCAUACUUACCUUUGUUUCAUAGAGGUAGGUUUUUGAGGAUCAUAUUCUUUGACCUGGAAGCUACUUUUAUGGUUUUUCUAGGUGAUCAUCUAUAUACCACUAAGUCUGAUUUUGUUCCCAGUUCCAUUUACAGUAAUAUUAAUUUAUUACUACAAUUAAUCAAUCCUGGAAAGGAUUGUCCAGUAAUUAGUAACUUGUGAAGAUCAGAUAUUGUGUCCUGUUACAGUUAGAGAACACAUAAAUUAUAAAGACCACUACUUUUGUGCCAGUUGUAAAAACAAAGCAUGUACUUAAUAAAAAGUCUAUUAAAUAAGUCAUAAUUGAAUGGCAUCUAAUUAAUGCAUAAAGUGAUAGUGAACAUUCUGAACAGGCUAGCAAGCCAAAGACUUGUUGAAGUUUGCUAAAUUCCGUUUGGUUUUGCUGUCAUUUUCUCCCGUGUCUCUCAAGGUUCCCAUCCCUCCAUCUGUGACUCCUCCCACCCCCCAAAAAAAAUAAGGAAGAAACUACCUGUUUUAAUACAAAAUACUAAGACAAAUAUUACAUUUAAUACAUCACUGACCCAUCUGAGAUUGUAACUGAAAGCAGUCUUACUUAAGAACUUAAGCAACUUGUUACAAACUCGACCACUGUCAUUGCAUAGUGCGCAUUUGCUGAGGAACAGUUCUGAACCAUGCGUUGGAGACACUUUUUUUCCAAUAGUUCUGGACUCUUUUCAGCUCAAGAGAGCUUGAUGUCUUUCAAAAACUGCACAUUUAAAAUAAUGGAGCCUAGAACCAGAUUCCAUCCCCAGAAAUCAAAAGUAUAGAAUAAAUGAAUAGUAUUCUGCAUACUUUUUAUCCUGUGUUUUCUGUUGAACUAACGGCUCACAAUUAUUCCAAGAAACAUUAUAGGGAGAGCUAGUGAAACCUUAAAACACUGAAAAUUAAGUCUGGGACAGAGAUACCACAUGCACACAUUAAUCUCAAGGAGCUAUUCGAGGGUUUCUGAGUCUUGUCUAGAUAGUUAUUUUGCAAGGCCUGGUGUUCAUGCAAGACAGUAAUUGCAGCAUAAACAAGUAACGAGUAAAUGUAUCUUUAUAGGGGUUAUUCAGCUUUCUAUCCUACUGUUUUCUCCUUUAUAUUAGCCCCUAUUCCAUGCCCCAGGGCUCCUUACCAGCUCCUCAUUAAGGCAUGCACCUUCUUGUGG